UACAGAGGGUGCGAGCGUUAAUCGGAAUUACUGGGCGUAAAGGGUGCGUAGGCGGGUCUUUAAGUCAGGGGUGAAAUCCUGGAGCUCAACUCCAGAACUGCCUUUGAUACUGAGGAUCUUGAGUCCGGGAGAGGUGAGUGGAACUGCGAGUGUAGAGGUGAAAUUCGUAGAUAUUCGCAAGAACACCAGUGGCGAAGGCGGCUCACUGGCCCGGUACUGACGCUGAGGCACGAAAGCGUGGGGAGCAAACAGG
rnacentral:rRNA from 1 species